AUGCUUCCGGCUCGAUAUACCUUGUCCAAAGAACGAGUGAUUGCCUUUUGUCAAUUUUUACGAGAAUUAAAGUUUCCAGAUGGGUUUGCUUCAAACAUAGCAAGAUGUAUAAGUGCUGAUGGAACCAAGGUACAAGGCCUAAAAACACAAGAUUGUCACAUUCUUUUGCAAAGAAUCUUACCGGCUGGAAUGAGAGGAUUUUUGGACAUUGAUAUAUAUGUAGCAAUAGCUGAGUUAGGCAAGUUCUUCAGGAAAUUGUGCUGCAAAACUCUUAACAAGGAUGUGUUGGCCGAAAUGAAGAAAGAAAUCCCUGUAAUAUUGUGCAAGCUUGAGAAAAUUCCCCCCCUGCUUUCUUCGAUGUGA
rnacentral:rRNA from 1 species